UACGUAGGGGGCUAGCGUUGUCCGGAAUCAUUGGGCGUAAAGAGCGUGUAGGCGGCCCGGUAAGUCCGCUGUAAAAGUCAAAGGCUCAACCUUUGAAUGUCAGUGGAUACUGCCGGGCUAGAGUCCGGAAGAGGCGAGUGGAACUCCUGGUGUAGCGGUGGAAUGCGCAGAUAUCAGGAAGAACACCAACGGCAAAGGCAGCUCGCUGGGACGGUACUGACGCUGAGACGCGAAAGCGUGGGGAGCGAACAGG
rnacentral:rRNA from 1 species